ensembl:snRNA LOC120102745 U1 spliceosomal RNA
AUACUAUCCUGCCAGAAGAGAGGCCAUCAUCUGGAAGGUAGUUUUCCCAGGGUAAGGUUUAUCAACUCUUCUCUGAAUGUGCUGACUCCUGCAAUUUCCCCAAAUGUAGGGAAUGCUACUGCAUAACUCUGACGGUAAGAAACUGAGUUCAUACUUUCCUC